CCCUGUGCCUUCAAACAGAUAAGUAAACCUUAGAAAAGGUUUCUCUGUGCAGUGCGCGUCCUGUUUCUGGCGCCGCUAGAUGGCAGCAACGGAUCACGGCGAACUGCGCCCCUCAUCUCCCCCGCCCUUCCCGCUUGAAAAAAAUAAGCGGAGCAGUUUCAACCCAGAAAAGAGGCUGCUUCCGUUACACUGGGUCUGGGCGGGGGAGCAGGCCAGCCUGGAGGAGAGGCAGCCUCCCACAGGAUUCCAGAUGCAAACUCACCUGCAGAGGAAGCCCUCUGCUUUCCUGCUGGGCCCGCUCAGAGGGUGGUGCCUGGGCACCGCUGCAGCUGGCACUUCUCCCCUCAGUAGGCUCCUGUCAUUUGCCUUCCCAGUUUAUCUGGAGUUUCAGGGACCUGCACCGCCAGAGUACUCCUUGAAGCUACCCGCAUUCCACUGUCAAGCAAGGGGCCAGAUGUGGCUGAACCCAGGAAGCCAGUCUUCGCUGCACUGCUUUCUCCCAGCGGUAACUACGACCUAGAUCGUGUGAUUAUUUCGUGAGGUUUUGCUGGGUCAAGGUGCAUUGGAAAGAUACUGCUCCAUUUGGCCUAGGUGCUUGAGCAUCUGUUUAAACUCAGCACCACGGGCGGGAGAGCUUUGGUGAGAGACCUGCUCGAGGCACCACUGCCACCUAGUGGCCAGAGAAACCGAGAGCCUCCACCAAGAAAACCCAGAUCUUCCCCCAAGGCACCAAGGAAGAUGGAUAAAAGAGAACCUAGACAUACUACAAAGCAGUUACAAUCAAAUCAGUCUGGUACUGGUACAAAAACAGAUGGGUAGAACAAUGUAACAGAAUAGAAACACCAGAAAUCAAUCUAAACAUCUAUAACCAACUUAUAUUUGACCACUGACCUGAAACCAAUCUCUGGAGCAAGGACAGUCUAUUCAACAAAUGGUGCUGGGAAAACUGCACAUCCACAUGCAGGAGUAUAAAGCAAGACCCUUACCUAACACGUUACACAAAAUCCACUCAGCAUGAUUCAACACCAUCAAAUUAAUUGAGAACACUGGGGAAACCCUGUAAGACAUUGGCACAACCAAGGAGUUCUUGGAAAAGACACCAGAGGCACAGGCAGCCAAUGCGAGAAUUAACAACUGGGAUUACAUGAAAUUGAGAAGUUUCUGUAUGGCAAUAGAAACACUCGGGAAAGUGAAGAGGCCACCGACAGAAUGGGAGAAAUUAUUUGCAAAUUAUGCAAUUGAUAAAGGAUUAAUAACCAGAAUCUACAAAGAGAUCAAGAAACUCUACAACAAGAAAACAAACAACCCAGUAAGAGUUUGGCCAUGGACUUAAACAGACAUUUCUGAAAAGAAGAAAUGCAAAUGGUGACAGACACACAUGAAAAAAUAUUCAGAAUCACUAGUUGUCAGGAAAAUGGAAAUCAAAACCACAAUGAGGUUUCACCUCACCCCAGUUAGAAUGGCUUUCAUAUAGAAGUCAACAAAUAACAACUGCUGGCAAGGAUUUAGGGAGAAAGAUACCCCAAUCCACUGUUGGUGGGAAUGUAAACUGGUAAAGCCACUAUGGAAGACUGUGUAGAGAUACCUGGAAAAUCUAAAUAUAGACCGACGAUAUGACCUAUGACCGAGCCAUCCCACUCCUGGGAAUUUACCCAAGGGAAAUAAAAUCAGUGAACAAAAGAGUUAUCUGCACCUCCAUGUUUAUUGCAGCUAAGUUCACAAGAGCUAAGACAUGGAAUCAACCUAAAUGCCCAUCAACCAAAGAAUGGAUAAAGAAAUUAUGGGUUAUGUACACUAGAGAACAGUACACAGCAGUUAAAAAAAAAAAAAAAAAAGGAAA